UACGAAGGGGGCUAGCGUUGUUCGGAAUCACUGGGCGUAAAGCGCAUGCAGGCGGAUUGUUAAGUCGGGGGUGAAAUCCCGAGGCUCAACCUCGGAACUGCCUUCGAUACUGGCAAUCUUGAGUCCGGGAGAGGUGAGUGGAACUGCGAGUGUAGAGGUGAAAAUUCGUAGAUAUUUCGCAAGAACACCAGUGGCGAAGGCGGCUCACUGGCCCGGUACUGACGCUGAGGUGACGAAAGCGUGGGGAGCAAACAGG
rnacentral:rRNA from 1 species